CCUCCCUAUUUAUUCCGGAGCUCCACUUCUCUCUCCUCCCGUGCAUCGGCGCCCCAACCCCAAGCCCGUGUCCUCUCCCUGAGCGCCUCAAAUCCAACCCCACCUCGCCGCCGUCGCUCCCCGCUCCUCCCGGGCCGAGGCUGAGGUUUCUUCCCCCCGCCUAUUCGGUUCCGGAACAGCGUUUUCAAGUGUGCUGGUUGGCUUAGUACUGGUCGUCGAUUUCUGACCGCCGAUGGUGGCCAGGAUGAUGCGGUGGCCGCGGCCGCCGGCGGCGCGCAAGUUCCGCGUGCGCCUGGUGGUGCGGCGGGCGGAGGGGCUGCCACUGCCGCCGCCCGCGGCCGCGGCCGCGGCCGAGCCGGCCUCGCCGGAGCGGGAGGCGGCGGGCGCCGCGCCGCCAAGGGCCGUCGCGGCGGAGGUGAGGUGGAAGGGCCCCAGGGCGUCGGCGCUGGGCUCGCUGCGGCGCGCCGCGGUCAGGCGCAACCGCACGCGGGGGGAGCCGGAGGCGGCGUGGGAGGAGGAGUUCGAGAGUCUCGUCACGCUCGCGGCCGCGUCCCAGCGGGAGGGCGCCGCGUUCCAGCCCUGGGAGCUCGCCUUCUGCGUCUUCAGCGACAUCAACAUAGGGCCGAAGAAUAAACCAUCAAUUCUGGGAACUGCUUCUCUCAAUCUAGCAGACUAUGCAUCAGUAGCUGAGGAGGUGAUCAAGAUAAUUCUCCCAUUGUCUGUACCUGGUGGUGAACCUGAAUCAGCCCCAUCCCUUCAUCUCAUUCUGAGCAUGGUGGAACUAAGAGCAGUUCAAGAAACAUCAGAUGCAUCACAGCGACCAGCUGCAACCUUGCCAUUGUCUCCAUCAUCUGGUGAUUCACUUCCUGGAGGAAAAGAUGAGGUUUCAGUUAUCAAAGCAGGGCUGAGGAAGGUAAAAAUUCUCACAGAUCUGGUGGCGACACGGAGGUCCAAGAAGAGUUGCCAAGAUGAUGAAGGAGGCGAAGAUAAUUUCUGUGUUAACAGUGAUGGUGCUGAAUAUCCAUGUGAUACUGAGUCUCUCGACGAUGAACUGGAUGAUAGAGUACAGGAAGAUGAAAUUGGGGAUUCAACUAUCAGGAAGUCUUUCAGUUAUGGCUCACUGCAGUCUGUCAACUAUGUUGGUGGCCUAGUUUAUGCCCAUGCAAAGAUUGAUGGGGUGCAUGAGGACUGGAUAUAUUAUAGUCACCGAAAAUCUGAUGUCGGUUAUCAAGUAGAGAAAAUGUUGCCCUCGACCUCUGAGGAGACUGUGUUGCCAACUGCUAAACGGAGUAUACUUCCUUGGAGGAAGAGGAAAAUGAGUUUAAGAUCACUGAAAGCUAAAGGUGAACCUCUGUUGAAGAAGGCAUAUGGGGAAGAGGGAGGUGAUGAUAUUGACUACGAUCGACGCCUGCUAACAUCAUCUGAUGAAUCUGUUUCAGAGGGAUCAAGAGCUGAAGAUGGAGCAGCAAAUGGUAUGGUGUCAGAAUUUGGUGAUGAUAAUUUUGUUGUGGGGAAUUGGGAGUUCAAGGAGAUAGUUAGCCGUGAUGGCCAUAUGAAGCUUUCGUCCCAGGUGUUCUUUGCAUCAAUAGACCAGAGAAGUGAGCGAGCAGCUGGGGAGAGCGCAUGCACAGCACUUGUGGCUGUUAUUGCAGACUGGUUCCAAGCAAAUCAGAAUAUGAUGCCUAUUCAGUCACAGUUUGACAGCCUUAUCCGUGAAGGAUCACUGGAGUGGAGAAACCUUUGUGAUAAUGAGGCAUAUAAAGAGCGCUUUCCUGACAAGCACUUUGAUCUUGAAACUGUCCUUCAUGCCAAGAUUCGCCCACUGACAGUCUCCCCAAGCAAAUCAUUUAUUGGAUUCUUCCAGCCCGAAGGUGAUGACGACGACAUGAGCGGUUUUGACUUUCUUAAUGGGGCCAUGUCAUUUGACAGCAUUUGGGAUGAGAUUACCCAGGCGACAGAGUUCUCAUCUAGUGAUAACCCUAACCUAUACAUUGUGAGUUGGAAUGACCACUUUUUCCUCCUCAAGGUUGAGCGUAAUGUAUAUUACAUUAUCGAUACCCUUGGAGAAAGGCUCCAUGAAGGGUGCAACCAGGCAUACAUUUUGAAGUUUGACAACAGUACCACAAUUCACAAGGUUCAGGCUGAAAAGAAACCUUCCAGCCCCGACUCAAGUGGACCAUUGAAGGAUUCUUCAGGUCCUGAGAGCUCUUCAACUGACCAGGACAGUGGGGAUGAUAUUGAAGAGAACAUCCUUGUGUCGAAGGGCAAAGAAUCAUGCAAAGAAUACAUCAAGAGUUUCUUGGCAGCCAUACCGAUCCGGGAACUACAGGUGGACAUCAAGAAAGGACUGAUGGCAUCAACCCCGUUGCAUCACCGCCUCCAGAUUGAGUUCCACUACACCCAAUCUUCCCCAAAAGAGAUUGCAGCAGCCCCUCAGCUUCUUACUGUCAAUGCCCCUUUUGAGUUCUCAUGGCCUGAGGCACAGCCAUCACCAACAAUGGAAGUAGCACUAACACCUGUCGUCUCCGUUGUAUAGCUUGUCGUAUGGGUGGCUGAGACAUGAGAACAGUUUGCCCUGAUGUUCAAAAUCAAGAGCCUCUUUUUCCUUGGGCUGCGGCAUGACGUGGGAACUAGAUGAAGACUUAGUUUGUUUUCUAUUUGUACUGAUUUAUCUAAUAUGAACUGACUGAUAUAGGUUGUCCUCCCACGCAUAGCCGCAUAGGAGCCAUCCACCUGAAUUUUGUAUAGAGGUGUAUGCUCGUAUCUUCCCUCAUCUGCUGGGCUGUAAUCAUUUGGAACCUUGUAUGAGUAAUCAAUGACGAACGCCCCUGUGUUAUAGUGAACUACAGUGUAAUAUGCUAAUAUCUUCCAGCAAGCAUCAAACUGGAAUUAUGAAUCUGCUAGUUGGAAGCAGCA